GGCUAUUAUCUAUUUUGACUUUAUUGAACCAUAAAACUAUUUUUUGACUCUUCACAUUGAAUAAUCCGCGAAGCGAUUAUGUAAAUGUGAAGAGUCAAAAAUUAGUUCUAUGGUUCAAUAAAGUCAAAAUAAAUUAUUGCCA
rnacentral:sRNA from 1 species